UUGACACCCUACUGGCCAACAUCCUAUCCUUUCCUUUCCCGCAAAAACAUUUUUUCAUUUUGAAUUUCCCGCCCGUAACAUACUACUCUUAAUUUCAUUUUGGGUUAAGAAAACCCUACCCGCAGUUAUUCCUGUUUUUUACUCUCAUGAUAGCCGUCUGUCCUCUGUUUCUACCAAAAAAAAAAAAAAACGUCUGUCCUCUUUACCCAUCUCUUUCCCUACCUUCUUUUCCCACAAUCGAAACUUUGAAGUCUUUUUUUUUUUGCUGAAGAUCGAAAUCUUGAAGUCUCUCUCUGGACUACCUCAACCUCCUCAUCAACGGCAAGCCUUCAGUGAUGUGACUUUCAGUGUAGAGGGUCGUCUAGUCCACGCACACCGGUGCAUCUUACCGGCCGGAAGCCUCUUCUUUCGGAAGUACUUCUGUGGUCCUGAGUCUCCUGACCCGCUGGCCGGGCUUUACUCGGCAGGUUCAAGGAUGAGCCCAGGAUCGGCGAGGGGUGGAAUUCUCUGGUGAUCCCUGUGAAUUCGGUUGGGUAUGAGGUGUUCUUGUUGCCGCUGCAGUUCUUGUACAGUGGACAGGUCUCAAUUGUUCCUCAGAAGCAUGAGCCAAGGCCUAAUUGUGGAGAGGGGUUGUUGGCACACGCAUUGCACCUCAGCCGUUAAUCUUGCCCUUGAUACUCUUGCUGCCGCUAGAUAUUUUGGGGUUGAUAGCUCGCAUUGCUCACUCAGAAGCAAUUGGCAAGUAUGGUGGAGAAGACUUCAAUUGAGGACGUGAUGAAAGUCUUGAUAGCGAAAUGUAGGUUGUUCAUAAUCUAUUACUAUUCUUUCUAAGUUCUUUAUCGUUUUAUUAUUAUUUUUCUUUAUUUAUUAGUGUUCCUAAUGUCACGCAUUUCUUGUACCACAGUCAAAUGCUUGGGGUUGUUCCCUUUA